AAUCUGAUUAAUACGCAAUUGUUACUCCAUGUAACCUCUUUGUGCUGAAGCUGUGGCAUGCACACUAGGUGGAAUUAUCUAUCCCCCGUGCAUCCAGCACUGCAAUAAAGAAUGCCUGCUUUCUAAAGCUCCAAAACAAGUCUUAGACAGUUUCUUCAACUAGCUUUUCGGUAUCAGGCUUAUUUUGAUUUCUUGGGGGUGUUUUGUUUUUUGUUUUGGUUUUGGGUUUUUUUAAAAUUUAUUUCUUGGGGAGUGUGACAGAUGCACUCAAUUCCUUAACCAAACUAGUGGUAGUUUGUUACAGGUUCCAAAGGAGGUAAAGGCCUGAGCCAGAAAUGGGCAAAGAACUUCCCUAUUUCCAGUCUGUUCUCUGAAAACCAACAAAGGAGCAGAGCGAUGCAGUGAGCAUGGAACGCCGAUCAUGCGAUGAACACAUGAACAGCAGGUGGCUUUCCAAGACUCAUUUACCAAAGAACAAAAGUUGUGAGUACAAGGAAUCUCAUGCAUACCUUUCCCAUUGCAUGUAAUUUGACUACAAGCCAAACACUUUAUUCCAUAAAUAUGACAGCCUAAACCGAGCCUUCUCUGAGCUCUCCCAGCUAAGCAGCGUGGCUGCAUGGCGGUGAUCUCCCCUUGAGGUGGGACACCUUGUCAAGGUUGCUCCUUGAGGCAGAGAGACCUUUCACCAACGGCAGAUCUUUGACCCUGCCGUGCACGUCGGUGAUCGGAUCUGCUGAGGACUACACUAAGAGGGAUCCUUCCUCACCUGGAGAGGCAGGCUGUCUCCUGUCUGCAGCUGCUGGCUGGACCCCCUUUAUUUUAUUCUUCAGCAGCUUUACCUUUCUCUGGCCCCUCCAGCUUCAGCCGCAGCAGCUCCUGUCCACAGCCAGUAAGUGCUCCGCCUGUCCCUUUUUGCUCCCACGCCAGGAGGAGUGCGAGGCCAGGCAGAGACAGCCCACGCAAGCCUGAGGCGGGCACAGUCAGCGGCAUCCCCAUGGGAGGAAUGGACAACCGCAUCCUCAGCGCGGCCUGUGGAA